UACGUAGGGGGCAAGCGUUGUCCGGAUUUAUUGGGCGUAAAGAGCUCGUAGGCGGUCUGUUGCGUCCGCUGUGAAAACUCGGGGCUUAACCCCGGGCCUGCAGUGGGUACGGGCAGACUAGAGUGUGGUAGGGGAGACUGGAAUUCCUGGUGUAGGCGGUGAAAUGCGCAGAUAUCAAGGAGGAACACCGGUGGCGAAGGCGGGGUCUCUGGGGCCAUAACUGACGCUGGAGGAGCGAAAGCGUGGGGAGCGAACAGGA
rnacentral:rRNA from 1 species